GGGGAGGUCUGCUCAGCUUUGGGGCACAGAAGGCAAGAUCUGUGAAGACCUCCAUCAUGGCUUGGUCCCCUGUACUCCUCACCCUCCUCAUUCAGUGCACAGGAUCCUGGGCUGUGCUGACUCAGCCGCCCUCUGUGUCUGGGGCUCUGGGUGAGAGUGUCACCAUCUCCUGCACUGGAAUCCCUACCAGCAUGGAUUAUGAUGAAGAGGAAUACACAUAUUAUGUGAGCUGGUACCAACAGCUCCCAGGAAAGGUACCCAUUCUCCUCAUCUAUGAAGAUAAUAACAGAAAUCCUGGAGUCCCUGAUCGAUUCUCUGGUUCCAAGUCAGGCAGCUCAGCCUCCCUGACCAUCAGUGGCCUUCAGGCUGAAGAUGAGGCUGAUUAUUACUGCCAGUCCACUGACAGUAGCUUCAGUGCUCACACAGUGUGUGGGGCCUUUGGUGAAGCGAGACAAAAAACUGCUGUCCCCUCUGCAAUGCAGUUAUCUGUGCAGCCUUUACUUCUUGGCUAUCCAUACCAGGAGCUGCUCACCAUGCCUGGACAACAGCCUCAAGCCGUGCGUCACUGCAUGCUGCCACUCGAGGUCAGAGUCGACCAUUUCUGA